rnacentral:rRNA from 1 species
UAAAACGACGGCCWGUACCCGCUGAAUUUAAGCAUWUCAAUAAGCGGMGGAAAAGAAACUWACAAGGAUUCCCCUAGUAACGGCGAGCGAAGCGGGAAUAGCCCAGCACCGAAUCCCCUGCCUCGCAGGUAGCGGGAACUGUGGUGUUUAGGACAGCCUAUGGGGUGGUGUUCGGACGUCCGAGUCCUCCUGAUCGGGGCCUUUCCCAUAGCGGGUGUCAGGCCUCUACUGGCGACCGUCGCCUCCCCUUUGUGCGUCCUUGGAGUCGGGUUGUUUGGGAAUGCAGCCCARAGUGGGUGGUAAACUCCMUCUAAGGCUAAAUACUGACMCGAGACCGAUWGCGGACAAGUACCGUGAGGRAAAGUUGAAAAGAACUUURAAGAGAGAGUUCAGUCAUAGCUGUUUCC